GAUCGGGCUCUGUGCAAUCGCCUGUUACCCAACCCCGUCAGGUCCGGAAGGAAGCAGCGGUAAGUGAUUAGGCGGUGUGCCGCAAUCGGCUUGGUCUGA
rnacentral:SRP_RNA from 1 species